rfam:Oryza sativa Japonica Group DNA, chromosome 1, cultivar: Nipponbare, complete sequence.
UUUAAACACAGCCAUGAGUUUCCGUAUCCAACUUUGAUCGUCCGUCUUAUUUCAAUUUUUUUAUGAUUAAUAUUGUUAUUAGAUGAUAAAACAUGAAUAGUACUUUAUGCGUGACUUAUAUUUUUUAAUUUUUUUUAAAAAAAUAAAUAAUUUGUACGAUUAACGUUGGAUACGAAAACUAAUUACUAUGCUUAAA